AUUGAACGCUGGCGGCAUGCCUUACACAUGCAAGUCGAACGGCAGCGCGGGAGCAAUCCUGGCGGCGAGUGGCGAACGGGUGAGUAAUAUAUCGGAACAUACCCUAGAGUGGGGGAUAACGUAGCGAAAGUUACGCUAAUACCGCAUACGCACUAAGGUGGAAAGUGGGGGAUCGCAAGACCUCAUGCUCAUGGAGUGGCCGAUAUCUGAUUAGCUAGUUGGUAGGGUAAAAGCCUACCAAGGCGACGAUCAGUAGCUGGUUUGAGAGAA
rnacentral:rRNA from 1 species